CUACGGGUGGCAGCAGUGAGGAAUAUUGCACAAUGGGGGGAACCCUGAUGCAGCAACGCCGCGUGGAGGAUGACGCAUUUCGGUGUGUAAACUCCUUUUAUAUGUCAAGAAAAUGACGGUAGCAUAUGAAUAAGCACCGGCUAACCCCGUGCCAGCAGCCGCGGUAAUACGGAGGGUGCAAGCGUUACUCGGAAUCACUGGGCGUAAAGGACGCGUAGGCGGGUUGGAAAGUCAGGUGUGAAAUCCUACAGCUUAACUGUAGAACUGCACUUGAAACUUCUAAUCUAGAGUAUGGGAGGGGGAGAUGGAAUUAGUGGUGUAGGGGUAAAAUCCGUAGAUAUCACUAGGAAUACCUAAAGCGAAGGCGAUCUCCUGGAACAUUACUGACACUAAGGCGUGAAAGCGUGGGGAGCAAACAGGAUUAGAUACCCCAGUAGUC
rnacentral:rRNA from 1 species